AAUCUUCGGCAAUGGGCGCAAGCCUGACCGAGCGACGCCGCGUGAAGGAUGAAGGCCUUCGGGUCGUAAACUUCUAAAAGAGGGACGAUAGUGACGGUACCUCUUGAAAAGCACCGGCUAACUCCGUGCCAGCAGCCGCGGUAAUACGAAGGGGGCUAGCGUUGCUCGGAAUUACUGGGCGUAAAGGGAGCGUAGGCGGACAUUUAAGUCAGGGGUGAAAUCCCGAGGCUCAACCUCGGAACUGCCUUUGAUACUGGAUGUCUUGAGUGUGAGAGAGGUGAGUGGAACUCCGAGUGUAGAGGUGAAAUUCGUAGAUAUUCGGAAGAACACCAGUGGCGAAGGCGACUCACUGGCUCAUUACUGACGCUGAGGCUCGAAAGCGUGGGGAGCAAA
rnacentral:rRNA from 1 species